GAACUGUGCAGACAUGACACUGCCUCUUGUCUGAGAAGGAAUUCUCUUGAGGGCAGGUACAGGAUUGCUGGAAAGAGCAGAGAUCUGAGACUUUUGCACUGUGGAGCUGUUUGUGUCCAGAUCUUAUCACUCAUCUUCCCAGCACUAAACACAUUCUUCUCAUCCUUAGAGGCAGCGGUGUUGGUGCAAGUGUGGCAGCAUCCACGUCCCGUUUAAGUUACAAGCCAAGGCACAGCUCCCUUCUGACGACAUUCCCUGGAGCCAUGAGCAGGAGAAGAGGGAUUUUUCUCACUCAGCUCCGUGAUGCAGCCCUGGAGCUCCUGAGACACCUUUUACAAAGCCUCUGCUGAAAGAGGGCAGGACCCUGUUUGUCCCUGGCUGUGGGAAUGUCCAGGGCUGUGUCAGGAGGGUCCCUGUGGAGCUGUGGGUGUCUCACAGCCUGAACCCUCCCGGGCAGCCUGUGUCUGAGCAGGUGUCACCCUCUGUGCCCCAGCCCUGCAGCAGCACAUCUCUGCUCUGCCUGCACUGCUAAUGAGUAUCUGCCUCUCUGAAACCCUGUGUGACAGCACAGCUGUAAUUGCGUUUCAGAAAGGGGAAAGCAUGUGUGUGCCCAAGCCACCCAUAAUUACUGCUCCGGAAUGCCUGGGGAGAGAGAUGCAUUGUGUGCCAUGACUACAGCUAGAAAAAAGGAAUCCUGAGGUGGAGUGUGAGCUGCCACAGCCUGCAAGAGGCAGCUCUGUGUCAUUUUCUGUGUGCACAGCAGGACCGAGGGGCUCUCCCACCGCAGGAGCCAUCGGUGACCUCAGCUCUCCUGAAGUGACAAAUGUCCAGCCCAGCCUUCCAGGGGUUUAUCCCUAAUCCACCGGGCUGGAUGUUAGCCAGGGCUUUGUCUGAGAGGUUCCAGAGGCUCCGUUCCAAGCUGCAGCCAAGCACAUUCCUAGUUGGAAAUAAUGGCACGCUGUGAGUCGGGAUAUUCUUCCUGCUUAUGGAGCGAUCCAGGAACGGCAGGCACGGAUUAUAUGACUUGAAUGCUGCACUAUUUAUGAUGUGUGUUCAGCCACCUGAAUCACGUUGGCAGUGUUCGAGCUUUGCCUGGAUAAUUGAUUCAAAUGUAAAUUGAAUGAAUAAAUCCUGUACAGCUAAAA